GUGCCAUUUUAAAAAAGAAUACGUUCGAAAAAUAUUUGAUGACAACGAGAAGCUCGUGAACUGCAUUAAGUGUGUGACCAUCGCUUGGAGAUUGGAAGGGACCACAUGGAGAAAAAAUGGAAUCGCAC
rnacentral:lncRNA from 1 species